rnacentral:rRNA from 1 species
UGGGGAAUAUUGCACAAUGGGGGAAACCCUGAUGCAGCGACGCCGCGUGAGCGAAGAAGGUUUUCGAAUCGUAAAGCUCUGUCCUAUGGGAAGAUAAUGACGGUACCAUAGGAGGAAGCCCCGGCUAACUACGUGCCAGCAGCCGCGGUAAUACGUAGGGGGCAAGCGUUGUCCGGAAUCACUGGGCGUAAAGGGUUCGCAGGCGGAAAUGCAAGUCAGUUGUGAAAGGCAGAGGCUCAACCUCUGUAAGCAAUUGAAACUGUAUUUCUUGAGAUGAGGAGAGGCAAGUGGAAUUCCUAGUGUAGCGGUGAAAUGCGUAGAUAUUAGGAAGAAUACCGGUGGCGAAGGCGACUUGCUGGACACAAACUGACGCUGGGGAACGAAAGCGUGGGUAGCAAACAGG